UUAAAACAGUGAAACGCAUACUGGCGGUUUCAAUACUUCAUUUCUUUCUUUUGAUAAUCUCUACUAUGUUAGAAUUUUAUGAAUGAUGAUUAUACACAAAUGUCAUAAUGUUAUGAGGUGUAUAAUCUCUUAACAUGUUUUUAUAACAGAUUCGAGGUAAAUGUAGCAGCAGGGUAGAAAAGUCAGCAGAGAGAGAGGAUGAGCAGGUGAUCAGUGAGGAACAGGGAGAAGACAACAGACAGCAGCUCUUUCAGACAAACGGAUGAUUCAGAUCCAAUGUGAAAGUAGCAGCAGAUGAAACCAAUCAAAAGAAGGACGGGAAGAACAUCUGAUCAGUGAGGGACAGGGUGAGGACAAUAGUCAAACAGCAGUUUCAGAUGAGCAGAAUGAGCCUAAUGUUAGAGACAAACUGAGCACAGAAAACAGAGACAGAGAAGAUUCAGAAAUCAUCACUUGCUUAAAUCCUGCACAUCCUGAUCCCAAGUUUAUAAAAGUACAGACGAGAGCAAACUAUGUGCUACACUUUCAGCAAAAAUGGUUUCAGAUGUUCCCAUGACUGCAUUACUGUACCACAUUAAAAGGGGUUUUAUGCUUUUAUUGUGCAAAAGUCCUCUCAAAGAAGACAAUGCUUGUCUCUAAGAUGGAUCCUGUCUUUGUGAGUACUGGUUUUAGAAACUGGAAAAAGGAGUUGAAAAGUUUACAGCCCAUGCUAAAAGCCAAUCCCACUGCCAUGCAACAACUGUGUAUGCUCAGGAAACAAAGAGCAUAGUAUCACAGCUUUCCUCAGUUGUUUCUAGACAAAUGUCAAACAGUAAUGCUCCUAGUGCUCCAUCGCCAAUGGCUUGCACCAACAAUUUCUCAAAGGCCAGGUCUUGUGUUGGCAGGAGCUGUGACUGGAGAAUUGAAGUGUUUGAAUGCUUCUCUCCAAAGAAAGACACAGACUAUCUCUGGCAUGAAAGCUGCCAUUUCUUGUGUUCAGUCUGUCUUGAAAGACAAAAGAGAUGAAGUUGCCUUUCAAAGUCUUUUUGAGCAAAUGUGAUUGUGGAUUCUCUAAAUCUAGAGUCUAUCAAAGUUCCAGAACCAAGGUGACUUCCUAAGCGUUUUAGCACAGAUGCAAGCACAUACAAGCCAAAAACUGCAACAGAGUAUUACAGAGUUGAGUUUUAUCAGGUGCUUGAUGCGGUUUUCAUCAGGAAGAUCUGCUGACCUUACAGAAACUAGAGUACACUCUGCUCACUGGACAAACUGAUUCAGUGUGUUGUGAGUAUCCUGAGAUCAGUUCAGUUACCAAUGUUUAGGCAUAACUACCAAUUUGGAUCCAGUUUGGAGGCAGCAAACAUUCUUAAAGGUUUGUCAGUGGAAGUCCGUGGCCUUUUCAGUGAAGUGGAAACUCUGGUCAGGUUGCUUCUGGUUGUGUGUCAGGAAUCAGGACAGCAUUUAGUAAAAUUGAAAAUCAAUUGGGAAAUCUUUAGGAUAAGCAAUGCACAUGGAUUAUAUAAAACUAUACUGUCAGUACAUCAUAGUGAAAUGAAAUUGUUAAUGAAAAGUCUAUUCAGUGACUAACAUGGAGUGUCCAAAUAUAUUCACAG